rnacentral:tRNA from 1 species
UAGCUCAGUGGUAGAGCAUCGGCUUCCCAAGCCGAGGGUCGCGGGUUCGAAUCCCGU